rnacentral:rRNA from 1 species
UACGUAGGGUGCGAGCGUUAAUCGGAUUUACUGGGCGUAAAGGGCACGCAGGCGGUCUUGCCAGUCAGGGGUGAAAGCCCGGGGCUCAACCCCGGAACUGCCUCUGAUACUGCAGGACUAGAGACUAGGAGAGGGUGGUGGAAUUCCCGGUGUAGCGGUGAAAUGCGUAGAUAUCGGGAGGAAGGCCGGUGGCGAAGGCGGCCUCCUGGGCCUGCACUGACGCUCAUGCACGAAAGCGUGGGGAGCAAACAGG